AAAUUAGAACAACACGCUUAUGCACCCAAAGGGGCUGUGGUAGGGAGGGGGAGGCUAGGUUGGAGUUUACAGCUAAGAUGGAGUCAACGAUGCUAGCCUAGGGAAGGUUAUUACAAUAUAGAUAUGCAUAAAUAUGUAAAAGUAGAUUUAUAGAUACAUGUUUUUUUCAGUCUUAGAAUUUUGAAAAUAUUUGUUUGUUUAGCAAGAAAUAUUCCAAAAUACAUAGGACAAAUAAUUAUCCAUUUGAAGAUCUCCAGGGAUGGAAAUUCCAAAACUAUUAAGAACAGUGUUUAUAACUCUGGGGGCUAAGAAUAUUUUUUUCCUUAAGUUUAGUUGAAAUCUUCCUAAUUUAA